rnacentral:rRNA from 1 species
GAGUAGGGCGGGACACGUGAAAUCCUGUCUGAACAUGGGGGGACCACCCUCCAAGCCUAAGUACUCCUCUACGACCGAUAGUGAACAAGUACCGUGAGGGAAAGGUGAAAAGCACCCCGACAAGGGGAGUGAAACAGAUCCUGAAAUCGGAAGCCUACAAGCAGUCGGAGCCCCCAAGCGGGGUGACGGCGUACCUUUUGUAUAAUGGGUCAGCGACUUCAUGUGUCGAGCAAGCUUAAGCCGUUAGGUGUAGGCGUAGCGAAAGCGAGUCUGAAUAGGGCGCUAAGUUCGACGUAUGACGACCCGAAACUAGGUGAUCUAUCCAUGAGCAGGUUGAAGGUUAGGUAACACUAACUGGAGGAC